AGGGAUGCUACCGGGCGACCGGAUGCGGAUCUCGAAAGCCUGUCCCAGUUCGGACUGGAGUCUGCAACCCGACUCCACGAAGUUGGACUCGCUAGUAAUCGCGCAUCAGCCAUGGCGCGGUGAAUACGUUCCCGGGCCUUGUACACACCGCCCGUCACACCAUGGGAGUCAGCAACGCCCGAAAUCAGUGACCCAACCGAAAGGAGGGAGCUGCCGAAGGCGGGGCAGGUAACUGGGGUGAAGUCGUAACAAGGUAAC
rnacentral:rRNA from 1 species